AUACAGAGGGUGCGAGCGUUAAUCGGAAUUACUGGGCGUAAAGCGCGCGUAGGCGGCUUAUUAAGUCAGAUGUGAAAUCCCCGGGCUCAACCUGGGAACUGCAUCUGAUACUGGUAAGCUAGAGUUUGGGAGAGGGAAGUAGAAUUUCAGGUGUAGCGGUGAAAUGCAUAGAGAUCUGAAGGAAUACCAGUGGCGAAGGCGACAUCCUGGCCUAAAACUGACGCUGAGGUGCGAAAGCGUGGGUAGCAAACGGGAUUAGAUACCCUAGUAGUCC
rnacentral:rRNA from 1 species